UCGGGAAUUUUGGACAAUGGGGGCAACCCUGAUCCAGCAAUGCCGCGUGUGUGAAGAAGGCCUGCGGGUUGUAAAGCACUUUUGGCAGGGAUGAAAAGCACUGGAUUAAUAACCCAGUGUGUUGACCUAACCUGCAGAAGAAGCACCGGCUAACUCUGUGCCAGCAGCCGCGGUAAUACAGGGGGGUGCGAGCGUUAAUCGGAAUUACUGGGCGUAAAGGGCGCGUAGGCGGUCGAGUAAGUCGGAUGUGAAAUCCCCGGGCUUAACCUGGGAAUUGCAUUCGAUACUGCUUGGCUAGAGUGUGGAAGAGGGAAGCGGAAUUUCCGGUGUAGCGGUGAAAUGCGUAGAUAUCAAGAGGAACACCUGAGGUGAAGACGGGUUGCUGGGCUGACACUGACGCUGAGGCGCGAAAGCCAGGGGAGCAAACGGGAUUAGAUACCCUGGUAGUCCCUGAGCGGGCUGGCAAGGCGCAU
rnacentral:rRNA from 1 species